rnacentral:lncRNA from 1 species
AGGGGUGUAGCCCCCGUGCCACCUUAGUGAUUCCUUCAGGCCAUCAUUUGUGCAGUGUUAGAGGUUGGGGGCCUACAUAGUCACCUAGUCCUGGUACGGGGCUGAUGUUGACGUCAACCACCACCUGACUCCUGAUGUCCAGCCUCGAUUCUCCCGGCGGCUCACCUCCUUGGUGGUCUGCCCCUUGUACAUCAGCGCAGCCUACCACAACCUCCAGUGCUUCCGGCUGCUCCUCCUGGCUGGCGCGAACCCUGACUUCAACUGCAAUGGUCCUGUCAACACACAGGGAUUCUACAGGGGCUCCCCUGGGUGCGUCAUGGAUGCUGUUCUGCGCCACGGCUGUGAGGCAGCCUUCGUGAGCCUGCUGGUAGAAUUUGGAGCCAACCUGAAUCUAGUGAAGUGGGAAUCGCUGGGCCCAGAGUCGAGAGGAAGAAGAAAAGUGGACCCUGAGGCCUUGCAGGUCUUUAAAGAGGCCAGAAGUGUUCCCAGAACC